rnacentral:rRNA from 1 species
GUGCCAGCAGCCGCGGUAAUACGGGGGGUGCAAGCGUUGCUCGGAAUCACUGGGCGUAAAGCGUACGCAGGCGGCCUAUUAAGUCGGAUGUGAAAGCCCCGGGCUCAACCCUAAAAUGUCGAUCGAUACUGUUGUGACUAGGAUACGGUAGAGGUGAAUGGAAUUCCGAGUGUAGCGGUGAAAUGCGUAGAUAUUCGGAGGAACACCAAUUGCGAAGGCAGUUCACUGGACCGUGAUCGACGCUGAGGAGCGAAAGCUAGGGGAGCAAACAGGAUUAGAUA